AUAAUUGAAGAAUGAAUCACUCUCGUGAUGUAAUUUAAUAUAGAGGACUUUUUUGAAAUCUAAAAAUUGAAUUGACCUUCCGUUUCAUUUUAUUUCCUCUCCUAUAAAAUGAAGUGAAAAAUGAACUACUUUGCAAACUGAACCAAACCAGCAAGUCUACAAGUUCCUCACCCACAACACUGUCAAGAACAAUAUGGAGAGGAAACCAUCUCUCAAGUUUGCUUCUUUGGUCCUCCUUUUGGCUACAAUUGCUUGCAUGGCAAUGUGGAACAUGCCGGGAGCUGAAGCAAGGGGAAAACUCCGGUGUCCUGGGAUGAUAGACUGCAGCAGUGUGUGCGAAGGAUUUCCCUGGCGCUGCGUUAAUGGUGAAUGCAUAUGCGAUGGUGGCAACCUUCCUCCCCAACUCCAAGUUGAAGCCAAUUUUCAACCAGACCAGUUGCCAUGAAAUGUGUACAAGGGGAUAAGUUUAUAGUACUAUAUAUGUAACUGUCUGAGUUGAGUAAUAAAAGUAACUAAUACCUUUAUUUCAUUGGCAUUAUUGCUUUGCUUCUAAACUUAGUGAUCAUAAGCAGAUUAAAGGUCACUUAAUCUGAUUACCAAGUAGCAACCACUCGAAAUUAAUGUUACGCCAAAGGCAACUAAUCCUUUUCAAUCAUCUGUUCAAAUGUCAUCUAGGGGACUUAAAUCAUCCGUUGAAUCAUUACACUUCGCCAACCUAUAUGUACACUAAACGAAUUUUCAAACAAUACAAUACUUCCUAUUCUGCAGAACCUAACAAGACACCCAGCACAAUGUAGAGCGCUUCAGAAAAAAAUUUCAAGGAACAAUGCGUCACAGAUAUGAGAGGUUCGUCGUGAUGUUAAAGGCGUGUGAAAGCUCAUUCUUCACAAAUCUUCAAUGGGGAAAGGUUCCUGGUUAAGCAAAUAUAUGACUGAUACAACAACAAUUACUAUGAGAACGUACUUCAG